rnacentral:rRNA from 1 species
GACGAACCGUCCUAACGUUGUUCGGAAUCACUGGCUUAAAGGGCGCGUAGGCGGCUUGCCAAGUCAGGGUGAAAUCCUGCAGCUUAACUGUAGAAGGGCCUUUGAUACUGGCGAGCUCGAGGGAGGUAGGGGUAUGUGGAACUUCCGGUGGAGCGGUGAAAUGCGUUGAUAUCGGAAGGAACGCCGGUGGCGAAGCGACGUACUGGACCUCUCUGACGCUGAGGCGCGAAAGCUAGGGGAGCAAACGGG